AUUGAACGCUGGCGGCCGGCCUAACACAUGCAAGUCGAACGAGUGGCGGACGGGUGAGUAAUGUCUGGGAAACUGCCCGAUGGAGGGGGAUAACUACGGGAAACGGUAGCUAAUACCGCAUACCAUCGGAUGUGCCCAGCUGGGAUUAGCUAGUCGGUGGGGUAACGGCUCACCUAGGCGACGAUCCCUAGCUGGUCUGAGAGGCUGACCAGCCACACUGGAACUGAGACACGGUCCAGACUCCUACGGGAGGCAGCAGUGGGGAAUAUUGCACAAUGGGCGCAAGCCUGAUGAAGCCAUGCCGCGUGUAUGAAGAAGGCCUUCGGGUUGUAAAGUACUUUCAGCGAGGAGGCGUUACUCGCAGAAGAAGCACCGGCUAACUCCGUGCCAGCCGCCGCGGUAAUAC
rnacentral:rRNA from 1 species